AGAGAAGGGAGGGACGGCUAGAGGCUGCGGGAUGCGGUGCGCUUGGCUCGCGCCUCGAGCAUAUUCUUCUGCCAAUGUACUCACUUCACUUGGAGGAUCUUAGAGCCUGC
rnacentral:lncRNA from 1 species